AUAUCAAUAAGCGGAGGAAAAGAAACUAACAAGGAUUCCCCUAGUAACGGCGAGUGAAGAGGGAAAAGCUCAAAUUUUGAAUCUGGUGUCUUUGGCGCCCGAGUUGUAAUCUAGAGAAGUGUUUUCUGCCUCGGACCACACAUAAAUUCCCUGGAAUGGGGUGUCAUAGAGGGUGAGAAUCCCGUUUGUGGUGUGGACUACCUUGGCUCUGUGAUACACUCUCAACGAGUCGAGUUGUUUGGGAAUGCAGCUCAAAAUGGGUGGUAAAUUCCAUCUAAAGCUAAAUAUUGGCGAGAGACCGAUAGCGAACAAGUACCGUGAGGGAAAGAUGAAAAGCACUUUGGAAAGAGAGUGAAACAGUACGUGAAAUUGUUGAAAGGGAAGCGUUUGAAGUCAGUCACAUCGGUCGGAAUUCAGCCUGGCUUUGCCUGGUGUAUUUUCUGGCAGAUGGGUCAGCGUCAAUUUUGACUGAGGGAAAAAGACUUGAGGAAUGUGGCUGUCUUCGGGCAGUGUUAUAGCCUCUUAUCACAUACGUCGGCUGGGAUCGAGGAACUCAGCAUGCCUUUAUGGUCGGGGUUCGCCCACGUAACAUGCUUAGGAUGUUGGCAUAAUGGCUUUAAGCGA
rnacentral:rRNA from 1 species